rnacentral:rRNA from 1 species
UGCCAGCCGCCGCGGUAAUACGAAGGGAGCAAGCGUUGUUCGGAAUCACUGGGCAUAAAGGGCACGUAGGCGGCCUAGUAAGUUGGAUGUGAAAGCCCCUGGCUCAACCAGGGAAUUGCAUUCGAAACUGCUGGGCUUGAGGCCGGUAGGGGAGUGUGGAACUUCUAGUGUAGCGGUGAAAUGCGUAGAUAUUAGAAGGAACGCCGGUGGCGAAAGCGACACUCUGGACCGGUUCUGACGCUGAGGUGCGAAAGCUAGGGGAGCAAACAGGAUUAGAUA